rnacentral:rRNA from 1 species
AGUGAACGCUGGCGGUAGGCCUAACACAUGCAAGUCGAACGGCAGCACAGUAAGAUCUUGCUCUUACGGGUGGCGAGUGGCGGACGGGUGAGGAAUACAUCGGAAUCUACUUUUUCGUGGGGGAUAACGUAGGGAAACUUACGCUAAUACCGCAUACGACCUACGGGUGAAAGCAGGGGAUCUUCGGACCUUGCGCGAUUGAAUGAGCCGAUGUCGGAUUAGCUAGUUGGCGGGGUAAAGGCCCACCAAGGCGACGAUCCGUAGCUGGUCUGAGAGGAUGAUCAGCCACACUGGAACUGAGACACGGUCCAGACUCCUACGGGAGGCAGCAGUAGGGAAUAUUGGACAAUGGGCGCAAGCCUGAUCCAGCCAUACCGCGUGGGUGAAGAAGGCCUUCGGGUUGUAAAGCCCUUUUGUUGGGAAAGAAAAGCAGCAGGUUAAUACCCCGCUGUUCUGACGGUACCCAAAGAAUAAGCACCGGCUAACUUCGUG